AUCACGUCGCCCACAUCAAACAUCCUUGUUUGGAUUCCAAUGUGUGUGGGCGGAGACUGGUCUCCUGUGCCCAUGGUGGUGCGGUUGGCCCAAAUANGAGUCCGCUUAAGAGUGACGCACGACUGGUGGUGGUUGAUUACACAGUCGUCUCGUGUCGUGUGUUUUGAUUCUUGACGGGAAAACUUCUUAAAGUACCCUGAUGUGCUGUCUUGUGAUGGCUCUUCGAUC
rnacentral:rRNA from 1 species